rnacentral:rRNA from 1 species
AGCGAACGCUGGCGGCAGGCCUAACACAUGCAAGUCGAACGGAUCCUUCGGGAUUAGUGGCGGACGGGUGAGUAACACGUGGGAACGUGCCCUUUGGUUCGGAACAACUCAGGGAAACUUGAGCUAAUACCGGAUGUGCCCUUCGGGGGAAAGAUUUAUCGCCAUUGGAGCGGCCCGCGUCUGAUUAGCUAGUUGGUGAGGUAACGGCCCACCAAGGCGACGAUCAGUAGCUGGUCUGGGAGGAUGAUCAGCCACACUGGGACUGAGACACGGCCCAGACUCCUACGGGAGGCAGCAGUGGGGAAUCUUGCGCAACGGGCGAAAGCCUGACGCAGCCAUGCCGCGUGAAUGAUGAAGGUCUUAGGAUUGUAAAAUUCUUUCAGCGGGGACGAUAAUGACGGUACCCGCAGAAGAAGCUCCGGCUAACUUCGUG